rnacentral:rRNA from 1 species
GUGGGUAGUUUGACUGGGGCGGUCUCCUCCUAAAGAGUAACGGAGGAGCACGAAGGUUGGCUAAUCCUGGUCGGACAUCAGGAGGUUAGUGCAAUGGCAUAAGCCAGCUUGACUGCGAGCGUGACGGCGCGAGCAGGUGCGAAAGCAGGUCAUAGUGAUCCGGUGGUUCUGAAUGGAAGGGCCAUCGCUCAACGGAUAAAAGGUACUCCGGGGAUAACAGGCUGAUACCGCCCAAGAGUUCAUAUCGACGGCGGUGUUUGGCACCUCGAUGUCGGCUCAUCACAUCCUGGGGCUGAAGUAGGUCCCAAGGGUAUGGCUGUUCGCCAUUUAAAGUGGUACGCGAGCUGGGUUUAGAACGUCGUGAGACAGUUCGGUCCCUAUCUGCCGUGGGCGCUGGAGAACUGAGGGGGGCUGCUCCUAGUACGAGAGGACCGGAGUGGACGCAUCACUGGUGUUCGGGUUGUCAUGCCAAUGGCACUGCCCGGUAGCUAAAUGCGGAAGAGAUAAGUGCUGAAAGCAUCUAAGCACGAAACUUGCCCCGAGAUGAGUUCUCCCUGAGACUUAGAGUCUCCUGAAGGAACGUUGAAGACGACGACGUUGAUAGGCCGGGUGUGUAAGCGCAGCGAUGCGUUGAGCUAACCG